CUACGGGUGGCUCCAGUGAGGAAUAUUGCACAAUGGGGGGAACCCUGAUGCAGCAACGCCGCGUGGAGGAUGACGCAUUUCGGUGUGUAAACUCCUUUUAUAUGUCAAGAAAAUGACGGUAGCAUAUGAAUAAGCACCGGCUAACUCCGUGCCAGCAGCCGCGGUAAUACGGAGGGUGCAAGCGUUACCCGGAAUCACUGGGCGUAAAGGACGCGUAGGCGGGUUGGAAAGUCAGGUGUGAAAUCCUACAGCUUAACUGUAGAGCUGCACUUGAAACUUCUAAUCUAGAGUAUGGGAGGGGGAGAUGGAAUUAGUGGUGUAGGGGUAAAAUCCGUAGAUAUCACUAGGAAUACCUAAAGCGAAGGCGAUCUCCUGGAACAUUACUGACGCUAAGGCGUGAAAGCGUGGGGAGCAAACAGGAUUAGAUACCCCUGUAGUC
rnacentral:rRNA from 1 species